GACGGAAGGUGCAAGCGUUGCUCGGAAUCACUGGGCGUAAAGGGUGCGUAGGCGGCCGUGCAAGUCUGGCGUGAAAGCCCCGGGCUCAGCCCGGGAAGUGCGCUCGAAACUGCGCGGCUCGAGUGCCGGAGGGGAGAGUGGAAUUCCUGGUGUAGCGGUGAAAUGCGUAGAUAUCUGGAGGAACACCGGUGGCGAAGGCGGCAUCCUGGACCGGCAUUGACGCUGAGGCGCGAAAGCCAGGGGAGCAAACGGG
rnacentral:rRNA from 1 species